GCCAGUUAUGGUGGUGCAUACCUGUAAUCCCAGUGUCUCAGGAGGUUGAGGCAGGAGGAUUGCAUGUUCAAAGCCAGCCUCAGCAAAAGCAAGGUUCUAAGCAACUCAGUGAGAACCUGUCUCCA
rnacentral:sRNA from 1 species